GCUCUCCCAGCGGGCGCGGAGCCUCCUUAGCUCGGUGGGGAGAGUUAGGCAGGUGCGGGAGGCUCCCUGGCUCACAAAUAGCGGCUACCGGGAGGGGGCGGGAGGCGGAGAGGGGCGCUGGAGCACAUGUAUCUCUCCAUUCUCCAGGUUUUAGGCAUAUCACAGGAACCAGGUCAAGAAAUGAACAAGGCUGAAUUUGUGAGGCUGUGGCAUUAACCCUUCACUUGCCUAGGCCUUUAAGGAAGUUUGCUGAAAUUUCAGCUGUCAGGAGGUAAGCAGGUGAAGCAUAUCAUAGGCUGGGAUUUGGACCAAGAAGGGAGGCAGCAGCCAAGGCAGAAAACCUCAGUGGCGCUGGGGAAUCCUGAGCCCAUGCCAUGCACUGCUAAAGCUGCCCAUGGACAGCAUAUCCAUGCCCAGCUACACAGAACACCCAUUGUGUAUGCUCUCCAUAUGCAAUAUAACCCUUUAAAUGAGAUUACAGCCGAGCAUACCAAGGGACAUACCUGUUUUCAGAAUAUUUUUGUUCCAUUUUCAGAAAUACUUCAUUUGUUCAUAUGAACAUCAGGCUUCCCCCCAUUUUAUCAAACAUGCUGCACUCCUGAUGCACUUACAGUGGAACAUGGAGAGCACUGUGGGAGAGGUAAAUACUAACUCUUCUGCACAGCAGGUUUUCAGGGCCUCUGACAUUGAACAUCUUGUUUUCUGUAGCUCACAAGCUGAAAAUUUGGGAAAAGGCUUCAGGAAAUGCAGCAUCUGAAAGGAGCUAAUCCAGCUGUGCCUGGGUUGGGAAAAUUUAAUUACUUGUAAACUUCAUUGCAGAGAUGUUAUUUUGC